GAUGAACGCUGGCGGCGUGCCUAACACAUGCAAGUCGAACGGGGUUAAGGGAAAUUUUCGGAUGGAACUUAACUUAGUGGCGGACGGGUGAGUAACGCGUGGAUAACCUGCCUCACACAGGGGGAUAGCAGCUGGAAACGGCUGGUAAUACCGCAUAAGACCACGACCCCGCAUGGGGUUGUGGUAAAAGAUUUAUCGGUGUGAGAUGGAUCCGCGUCUGAUUAGCUAGUUGGUGAGGUAACGGCCCACCAAGGCGACGAUCAGUAGCCGGCCUGAGAGGGUGAACGGCCACAUUGGAACUGAGACACGGUCCAAACUCC
rnacentral:rRNA from 1 species